rnacentral:sRNA from 1 species
GAUAAAUAACAGUACUAAGAGUGCACACGAUUCAAUGGGAAAGUAAACUAAGUGAUAAGGCACUAGACCUGUCUCAAGUAUGGGGAAUUCUCUAUUCUUGAAGCAAGCGAUACCACCUGACUUUCAAUUUCAGACUUGGUCAUUGCAGGUUUGCAAAAUAUGUCAUCUUUUCUUGGUUGUACUAUAUCAGUUCUACCAGAACUUUCUCCAACGUUAUUCUCAGACAUCUCUACGUCAUCAGGGGGAUACCGAGAAAACAAAUCCUGUAAAACAUCUUUUGCUUCUGCUGAAAAUCUGAAAGAAACAAGAUUUUCCUUCCCCUGUUUGCCCACUUCCUUUUUGGUCUUAUAAACAGAAACUCGUCGAUUAUCCCCGCCCCUAGAGAGAGUUACUUUUGAAAGAUAAAGAACCUAAAAACCAAAAUCUUUUAGGUAAUAUACUCAUGCUUAUAAGUAACUACUUACCCAGAACUCUUGGACACCAGUCCCAUUUUUCUACAUAGGAUAUGCACUGCAGCUCGAUCUCGAUUCGACAGAUUAGCUUCA